rnacentral:tRNA from 1 species
GCCCUCGUCGAAUAAUGGUAAGCACGCUCGGCUCAUAUUCGAGAGGUCCGUAGUUCGAGUCCCGGAGAGGGCA